UGAGAGUCCUGAAGGAACGUUGAAGACGACGACGUUGAUAGGCCGGGUGUGUAAGCGCAGCGAUGCGUUGAGCUAACCGGUACUAAUGAACCGUGAGGCUUAACCUU
rnacentral:rRNA from 2 species